rnacentral:tRNA from 1 species
GUCGGGAUAGCUCAGCGGUAGAG